rnacentral:rRNA from 1 species
GACGUAGGGCGCGAGCGUUGUCCGGAUUUAUUGGGCGUAAAGAGCUCGUAGGCGGCUUGUCGCGUCGAAUGUGAAAACUCGGGGCUCAACCCCGCGCUUGCAUUCGAUACGGGCAGGCUCGAGUUCGGUAGGGGAGACUGGAAUUCCUGGUGUAGCGGUGAAAUGCGCAGAUAUCAGGAGGAACACCGGUGGCGAAGGCGGGUCUCUGGGCCGAUACUGACGCUGAGGAGCGAAAGCGUGGGGGGCGAACAGG